CACUUAAAACUGGAAACAUCAAAAAAUCAGAAAUUGACGGUUGAGAGAGCAAUUUCAACCAACCCAUCAAGCCAGUGUUACCCUUUGGUUUGAGCAUUAGUCUGUGGAUUGAAACCUGAACACAGCUUAGAGACAUUUGACAGACAGCGUUCCAUACCAGAUGAACUGUGGAUCCCGGAUGGAGACGAUGUCCAGAGGGAUGAAAUGAUGGUGGAAGACAUGACGAACCAGGUGAUCAGUUUGGGGAGUUUCGGGACAGCCACAGUCUGAAAAGCUUUGGAGAAGUGAGCAACUACAGCAGGGUCUCUCUCAUCAGCAUGUUUUUAAUCUUUGUGUGUUGUUGCUGCCAUUACCUGGGGGAUUGAGUCUGCAGUGAGGGAGGCCCAGCAGUCACAACCAGAUCCUGGCAAUGGACCUCAAGACUGUGUGUUUGUGCCAGAUGCCAGAUUUUUACUCAAGUGAAAUCACUCAUUGCUGGUGUACUCCGUCCUCUGCCAGUUCCAAGUUGACCGUUGUCUUGUAUAGCCCUUGAUUUUGUGACUGGGUUACCUCCAUCCCAGGCAAUACAGUCAUUCUCACUAUAGCUAUGGUAGAAGUUGGCAAAAGUGGAGCCGAAGUGGAAAGCCACACCCAGACAGACAUACACACAAGCAAAGUCAGAGAGACACACACAGGGAAAAUUCACAGGAAAACACAGGGGAGAGGGAAGCGGCAGGAUAACAAAGGGAAUGAGAGCGAGAUAUAGACCAUGACAUUAUCUCUUUAAUUUCUCAGCUCACGUAAUUGAACAACAAAGAAAGUCAAAGAUAUAGAGGCCCAAAGGCAGUAACAGCUGUAAAUGCAAAACAUUAUCUACACAUUUAUUCAACAUUUUACAGAAAGAUCUUGACUGCAGGGGUUUAGCAUCAGCCAGAGUGAAGGCUAUGGAUGUUCACUUAUUUUGCUCUGUUUAGAAAAUUGCUCUUUUUCAUGUUUUAUAACUUUUGGCCUACUUUUAUCAUUAACUUCAUAGCCUACUAAGGAAUAUUUACUUUUCAUUCAGAAAUCCAUGUCACAUAGAUAUGGUUGUCAUGUGUAGUCUCCCUGAGCUUUAAAGGCUGUAGGCAGGAAAAACCUGUUGUUGCUAAUGCCAACACUGUUGCCAGGCAACUGAUCUGUCUUGCAACCGAUUUAGAUCCACUUCAAUUCAGCCAAUUUUCUGUUCCAAAGUUUGAGAGUGUGAGUUUAAGAUUUUCAAAAUCAGUCAGUCAGACAACAACUCGUCUUACACAGCUUUGUCUCUCAGGAGAAUAACUGCAAGUCAAGCCUGCCUUCACACUUUGUCAUCAAAAUUUGUGUUUAUAUUGAUUUAACUUCCCAGAUGUUUCAUAUAUUGGUAAAUGUAACAAAGAACUUGGGCUUUAACUUGGGAAUUACAUUCUGAAAUUAUUUGAAAAUGUUGUGUUUAUGAAUUGUGUAGCAUGUAUCAUUUGCAAGCAGAAAAAAAAAACACAAGCCAUUUCAAGGUAAACAGCUUAUAAACAUGAGCAAUCUGCGUUGGCGCAGGUACUCAAAUCUCUGAGGGGGAGGAUGUUGUGAAGAUCAUACACCUCCUGGUUCCAGAACAGUAUGACAAAGCAGAGAUGAAGAACACUGACUCCUCCAGAGCACAGCUGCGCUUUGUCACACUGCGGAGCUCAUUCAGCGACAUGUGGUUUACCUCCUGACUAAGCACAACAAUUUGACGUCUCCGCCUGACAAUGCAGAUUUAUUACCAGAUCUGACAAAGCCCCAUUAUUCAGCAUCAAUCCCCAGUGCUGACACAGUGGAUCUGGCACCGAGGCAUUAUGGACCACAAGCAUCCAUUAGGAUCAAAAAAAGAGAGGGCCAAACAUAAUGUCUGACAGCUUGAGCUUUUGAAUUUAAUUAAAUGUGUCACAGGUUUCUGCCUAUUUAUGGCCUGGAUGGAGUAAUAGGGACAGGCUAUAACUCCUGCGAGCACAGCAAAAAGAUUUACCUCAUUUAUCUCCCACAGAGAACAGAGAGCUACAUACUUUCAAAAUGUGAGCACUUGAAACAGUAGAUUUACCAAGGUGCCAGACUUGUGACAUAAAUUGUUAGAGAGAAGAUAAGAGUGCUAUAAAAACACAGUUUGCUCCUGUGUGUGCCAGCUCCUAAUAACAAUAUUGUACUCCUUAACAGAAACUUAAUUUAGUGAUUUAAACUCCUUUAUACUCUGGAGCCAAUAUUUGUCAAUAAAAAGCAGCUCCACAGAGCCAUGUCUCCAAAUUGUACCAGAAAGCUGACAGACAAUAAUAAAUCAGAGGGAGAUUUUAUGGAUCCAUAUUACAUUUGUCUAAGUAUUUGCUAUGAAAUGAACUUCAUUUUCUGGCAGCGAUUAUCAAUCUAUGCAGAAAAGAGGUAUACAUUAUCCCAGCAGAUUCAGGA